UCAAGAAUCUUCCUCAAUGGACGAAAGUCUGAAGGAGCGACGCCGCGUGUAUGAAGAAGCCUUUCGGGGUGUAAAGUACUUUUAACUGUGACAAAACAAUGAUGGUAGCAGUUGAAUGAGGGGCUGCUAACCUCGUGCCAGCAGCAGCGGUAAUACGAGGGCCCCAAGCAUUAUCCGGAUUUAUUGGGCGUAAAGCGUCCGUAGGUGGUUUAUCGCAUCUCCUGUUAAAUCUCGAGGCUCAACCUCGAGUCCGCGGGAGAGAUGGACAAACUAGAGAUUGGAAGAGGCAAACGGAAUUGCUGGUGUAGGGGUUAAAUCCAUUAAUAUCAGCAAGAACACCAAAUGCGAAGGCAGUUUGCUAGGACAAAUCUGACACUCAGUGGACGAAAGCGUGGGGAGCGAAUG
rnacentral:rRNA from 1 species